rnacentral:rRNA from 1 species
AUUGAACGCUGGCGGCAUGCCUUACACAUGCAAGUCGAACGGUAACAGGUUAAGCUGACGAGUGGCGAACGGGUGAGUAAUGUAUCGGAACGUGCCCAGUCGUGGGGGAUAACUGCUCGAAAGAGCAGCUAAUACCGCAUACGACCUGAGGGUGAAAGCGGGGGAUCGCAAGACCUCGCGCGAUUGGAGCGGCCGAUAUCGGAUUAGGUAGUUGGGGGGGUAAAGGCCUACCAAGCCUACGAUCUGUAGCUGGUCUGAGAGGACGACCAGCCACACUGGGACUGAGACACGGCCCAGACUCCUACGGGAGGCAGCAGUGGGGAAUUUUGGACAAUGGACGCAAGUCUGAUCCAGCCAUGCCGCGUGCGGGAAGAAGGCCUUCGGGUUGUAAACUGCUUUUGUCAGGGAAGAAAAGGUUCUGGUUAAUACCUGGGACUCAUGACGGUACCUGAAGAAUAAGCACCGGCUAACUACGUGCCAGCCGCCGCAGUAAGAC